rnacentral:tRNA from 2 species
AAGGCACUAGUAAAAUAGAUUAUUACACUGCUUUGUCAAGGCAGAAUCGUGGGUUUGACUCCCGCGCGCCUUA